rnacentral:rRNA from 1 species
CUUGCCCUACGGGGGGCAGCAGUGGGGGAUAUUGCACAAUGGAGGAAACUCUGAUGCAGCGACGCCGCGUGAGGGAAGACGGUCUUCGGAUUGUAAACCUCUGUCUUCAGGGACGAAAGCAAUGACGGUACCUGAGGAGGAAGCCACGGCUAACUACGUGCCAGCAGCCGCGGUAAUACGUAGGUGGCAAGCGUUGUCCGGAAUUACUGGGUGUAAAGGGAGCGUAGGCGGGGCCGCAAGCCUCAUGUGAAAUCGACCGGCUCAACCGGUCGCUGCGUGAGGAACUGCGGUUCUUGAGUGGAGUG